AUCCUGUACUAGACUCCUGAAGUGGAAUUCUAGACAUGAUCAGAUGGUACUGUCUCUCUCUGGCAUCUGGAGAGUUCUUCAGGAAGCUGAGAGAGGUCCCAUGUUCUCAGCGUGUGCUGAGGACUAGCUAGCUAUACCUGUGGGAGAAAAUUACGCAGGCGCGAAAGGGGCAAAUGCAGAGAUCCAGUUGGACCAGCAACACUUGUUGAAGAUGCUGUCUUUUUUCCAUUGAAUGGUUUUGGCUGCUUUGUCAAAAAUCAAGUAUUCACAGGGUCUCCCACUGAACCUACUGUAAGCCAACUUGGCUAGGCUGGCCAGCCAUCAGACUCCAGGAAUUCUUUCUUCUCUGCAUCCCCAGGGCGGUGGCUUUGGCAUGGUGUUGAGGAUCAGAACUCAGGACCGCUGAAUGUGGCAAGCACUUCACCCACUAACCCAACUUCACCAUUCCCAGCACUUUUUCUUCUUGAAUGGAACUAAUGGAUAUCAUUACAGCAGGCUUGACUCAUACCCCUCUGUACUGUUUAUAUAAAAGAUACUUAGCCUAUCUUUCAUUGAUGAGAAAUUAAACUUCUCCGACAUGACGUGGGCCUUUUGUAAAGAGUGCUACAGUAAAAACUCUGUAUAUUGUUAUAAAACUGGAUACUAUUUUCUAGUGUAAACUCUUAGAAGUGAAUUUUCUGGCCGUGAUAGCAUGUACAACUUGUGUUUAACAUCCUGACACACUUUCUGCCAAUGUCCACAUAAUGGUUUACACUCUGCUCACAGGAGGGGCCAAUGCUUGGGGCCCUGCUUUGUCCCCAAACAGACAUCAUUACAUUCUUCAGUCUUUGCUGACCCUAGAGAGGAACUAUCAGCCCAGACUAGAUUUUAUUCAUUUCCUUUUGAGUGAGAGCAAGCAUUUCAAUUUGGGUUUAUAGGGUUUUUUUAUGUACUUUUAAACUAGCUGCUGAUGGCUUUUACCUUGCCAGUCUUUGACUUUAUUGAUUUAUGCUACUUAACAUUUGUGUUAUAUGGGUGCAUUGUCAUUUUAAAUAUUUUUCUUUCCAAAACUGAACUUAUAAUACUAAUGAACAACACAUUUUUGUGUCAAUAUUUGUUUUCAGUGAGGCAGAAGUACACUGUCUUUGCUAUGACUUCUGCAUGUGUGAGAUGGGCUAAUCUUCCCAGGAAUUCUUCACAGUGCUUCCUGAGGCUCUGAAUGUCAAUAUGUCAUUCUUACAUUUUUUUCAACAGCUGAUGUGGAGAUUUUAGUAGUUUAUUAUAAAAAUGUUCAAUUAUGCAAAAGCUUUACACUUCUAUGUUGAAUACUCAUAUGCCCAUAGCCAGAAUUAUAUGAUUAAGAUUUCGGCUACUCUCUAUUUUCUCUCAUAUGUUCUGUCUACAGAUUUUGAGACAGACAGUGAAAGUUCACUUUAAGAUUUCAGUUUUAUAGAUAUUUUACUUCUAAUUUUCCAUUUGAUUUGUUUUGGGUGGUUCUGUUUGAUUAUUUAUUAUUUUUAUGUCUUGCCUGCAUAUAUGCCUGUGUGUUACAUGCAAGUAGUGCCCCACAAAGACCAGAAUAGGACAUUGGAUGCCCUGGAAUUAGAGUGACAGAUGGUUAUGAGCCACCAUGUGGGUGCUGGUAAUUGAACCCUGGUCCUCUAGAAUAACAGUCCCAUGUUUCAUGUUUCAUCACUGCUGUUUGUUUCCCUCAUUUGAUGAGAGCCUUCUUAAAAGAAUUAGUAUCUAGAUUUAGGAGGUUUACAAAAUAUAAUUUCCGUUCUCUCCAAAUAUAAAUGUUAAACUUGAAAUUUUCUUUCCAAACAUGCUCGCGUUUCCUAGUAAAUAAUAAUCUCCUUUCUCAUAAAGGGACAAAUUACUGUAUUUCAAACUAACUUUCUUUGUGUUUGCUAAUUUAUCCAUUUUGUAACUGGGCACAGAAGUCUUUCAAGCUAUUUUUAAAAGUCACUCCAUUGUUUACUGUGGGUUUACUAACUGGAUUAUAUGGUCAUUCUUGGAUUCUUCUUCUCUUCCUGGCCUACAUUCGCCAUCAGAAUAUUUUUGCCCAGUAUUUCUCUGUGAGGUUGAGGAUGCCAUCAGGACAUUAAUCUAUGUGGACAUGAGGCAAGGUAACUUCCUCACCACAGAACAUUAUACUCAAGUUUCUUCAAAAACUGUGCCCUGAUUGGUCUAAAUUCAGCCAGUCUCUUUUUGUCUUUCACAGCUAGGAUUUUACACAGAGAGAUCCUGUUCAUGUGAAGAUUACCCCCCCUCUUUUUAAUUAAAACAACACUUUGAAGGUUAUUCUUCAAUUCUGUCUCUUGGGUAUAGAAACCCAAGUUACACGGACCUCCUCUCCUGUGGUUUUCAUAUUUAUCAAUCAAUAUGUUGUAAAUCCACAGUUUUCUUUUACAUUUUUGGGUACAUUUAGUUACUUCUUUCUUGGUAUGUUUGGGGGUGGGUGAUAUGUGUGCCACAGCCAUGUGUGGAGGUUUAGAGACAAGUAGUGGGAGUUGGUUCUUUCCUUUGACUAUGUGGGUUCUAGAGACUGAACUCAGGUCAUCAAAUGUGGCAGCAAGCGCUGAGCCAUUUUUUAGGUCUUUCCACACUUAUUAUAUAUAUAUAUAUAUAUAUAUAUAUAUACAUAAAAGUGGAAACACUGAUCCACAUCUCUUCCUCAAAUAUCAGCAAUUUUUUUUUCUUUAGUCUUACGUGAGGAUAGUUUUGGCACUGGUUAAUUUUCCCUAGGCUUUCUUCACUUUGACUUUCUCCUGUAAGAGUAUUUAUUGCAGCCAGUACCGAAGAUACCUGAUAAACUAGGGUCAGUCAGAUGGAAGGGGAAGAGGACCUCCCCUAGCAGUGGACUUGGAAAGGGACAGGGAGGAGAUGAGGGAGGGAGGGUGGUAUUGGGAUGGAAGGAUAGAGGGGGCUACGGCUGGGGUACAAAACAAAUAACCUGUGAUGAAUAUUAAAAAAAUAAAAAUUAAAAAAAAAAGAGUACUUAUUUCUUCAUUAGUCAUGAGCCAUUCCUGAGUCUCCUUAAAGGACAAAGAGAUUACAUAAGACCUUUUCUUUUCAUUAUGGAGAGUUUUUGUUGUUGCUGUUUCUUUCUUUCUUCUCUUUUCUGA